rnacentral:rRNA from 1 species
CAGGCCUAACACAUGCAAGUCGAGCGGAUGAGAAGAGCUUGCUCUUCGAUUCAGCGGCGGACGGGUGAGUAAUGCCUAGGAAUCUGCCUGGUAGUGGGGGACAACGUUUCGAAAGGAACGCUAAUACCGCAUACGUCCUACGGGAGAAAGCAGGGGACCUUCGGGCCUUGCGCUAUCAGAUGAGCCUAGGUCGGAUUAGCUAGUUGGUGAGGUAAUGGCUCACCAAGGCGACGAUCCGUAACUGGUCUGAGAGGAUGAUCAGUCACACUGGAACUGAGACACGGUCCAGACUCCUACGGGAGGCAGCAGUGGGGAAUAUUGGACAAUGGGCGAAAGCCUGAUCCAGCCAUGCCGCGUGUGUGAAGAAGGUCUUCGGAUUGUAAAGCACUUUAAGUUGGGAGGAAGGGCAUUAACCUAAUACGUUAGUGUUUUGACGUUACCGACAGAAUAAGCACCGGCUAACUCUGUGCCAGCAGCCGCGGUAAUACAGAGGGUGCAAGCGUUAAUCGGAAUUACUGGGCGUAAAGCGCGCGUAGGUGGUUUGUUAAGUUGGAUGUGAAAGCCCCGGGCUCAACCUGGGAACUGCAUCCAAAACUGGCAAGCUAGAGUACGGUAGAGGGUGGUGGAAUUUCCUGUGUAGCGGUGAAAUGCGUAGAUAUAGGAAGGAACACCAGUGGCGAAGGCGACCACCUGGACUGAUACUGACACUGAGGUGCGAAAGC